CUGCUGCCACCCAGAAGAAGCUCUCAGUGCAGCUGGGCACGGUGGUGCACACUCAGGGAGGCUGAGGCAGGAGGAU
ensembl:miRNA